AUGGAAAGGAUUUCAAGUUUUUUUCUCAUGGGCUAUGCACAGAGAAGCAGAACAUCCUUCUUCAACACAUGUUCUGCUUCUCUGUGCAUAGCCCAUGAGAAAAAAACUUGAAUCCCUUCCAUU